rnacentral:rRNA from 1 species
GAGUUUGAUCCUGGCUCAGGACGAACGCUGGCGGCGUGCCUAACACAUGCAAGUCGAACGGGACUGAAACUGACACCAGAGAUUCAGCCGGAGGCGAGAGCCGAGGGAUGAGGAACUGGUGUUGGCUUCAGUUCAGUGGCGGACGGGUGAGUAACGCGUGAGGAACCUGCCUUUCAGAGGGGGAUAACGUCUGGAAACGGACGGUAAUACCGCAUGAUAUCUCCGGGUCACAUGGUCUGGAGAUCAAAGGAGCAAUCCGCUGAAAGAUGGACUCGCGUCCGAUUAGCCAGUUGGCGGGGCAACGGCCCACCAAAGCAACGAUAGGUAGCCGGACUGAGAGGUUGAACGGCCACAUUGGGACUGAGACACGGCCCAGACUCCUACGGGAGGCAGCAGUGAGGGAUAUUGCACAAUGGAGGAAACUCUGAUGCAGCAACGCCGCGUGAAGGAAGACGGUCUUCGGAUUGUAAACUUAUGUCCUCAGUGACGAUAAUGACGGUAGCUGAGGAGGAAGCUCCGGGUAACUACGUGCCAGCAGCCGCGGUAAUACGUAGGGAGCGAGCGUUGUCCGGAUUUACUGGGUGUAAAGGGUGCGU